AACGAACGCUGGCGGCAGGCUUAACACAUGCAAGUCGAGCGCCCCGCAAGGGGAGCGGCAGACGGGUGAGUAACGCGUGGGAACGUACCCUUUGCUACGGAAUAGCUCCGGGAAACUGGAAUUAAUACCGUAUGUGCCCUACGGGGGAAAGAUUUAUCGGCAAAGGAUCGGCCCGCGUUGGAUUAGCUAGUUGGUGGGGUAAUGGCCUUCCAAGGCGACGAUCUAUAGCUGGUCUGAGAGGAUGAUCAGCCACAUUGGGACUGAGACACGGCCCAAGCUCCUACGGGAGGCAGCAGUGGGGAAUAUUGGACAAUGGGCGCAAGCCUGAUCCAGCCAUGCCGCGUGAGUGAUGAAGGCCUUAGGGUUGUAAAGCUCUUUCACCGGAGAAGAUAAUGACGGUAUCCGGAGAAGAAGCCCCGGCUAACUUCGUGCCAGCAGCAGCCGCAGUAA
rnacentral:rRNA from 1 species